GUUGGAUAAUUUGACAUUUUUAUCAUCUGUGAGGUACCACAGUUAAUAGCAUGUUAGAGUUCUAAAGGCA